rnacentral:tRNA from 1 species
GGGCUAUUAGCUCAGUUGGUUAGAGCGCGUUCCUGAUAAGAACGAGGUCACUGGUUCAAAUCCGGUAUAGCCCA